rnacentral:rRNA from 1 species
GUCUACGGCCAUGCCACCCUAAACACGCCCAAUCCUGUCUGAUCUCGGAAGCUAAGCAGGGUAGGGCCUGGUUAGUACUUGAAUGGGAGACCACCUAGGAAGACCAGGUGCUAUAGGCA